rnacentral:lncRNA from 1 species
UUUCGAAUCUUUCUCCUAGAUUAAGGAGAUUGUUGUUUUGUUGUUAGUGGUUGCCAUCAUCAUCACAUUGAAAUCAACUUUAGUUAAUACUAGCCUCCUGCACGCGCUCACGGGCGUGCGGAAGGCCCUUUUGUAAUUAAGGCAUUCUACGUGCGACUUAAAUAAUUUAAAUGAUAACAAAAGAGCGGUUGCUCUCUGAUCUAAUUGCAGACACAAUCUGCAGAACCGUCUUCUAUGGGAUUUGAACUUGUGAAGUGUGAGGUGGAGACCUGAAUGUAACAAAUUGGUGUUAAGUGAAUAAUUCCAAACAUAUAAAAUUUAGAUCAUCACACCGAACGCAAACAGAACAAUUAAAUAAACAACUGAAGGCAUACGCAAUCUAAUUAGACAAAUAAGUGAACUUUCCCAUGCCGAAAUCUGAAAGGCCAACAGAAAUAUCUCAUUACAGCACAGAAGACAAAACUUAGGACAAAACUUAAAACUAAUCAAACUUAGGUGAACCAAUUAUAGAGAACAUAACCCUUGUAACCAAUCGGGAAAAGAUGCUUUUAAAUCCCAGAAAAAAAAAUUAAGAGGAGUUUUUUAAAAAACCAUCAUUUCAAUUAUUUUCCAGUCUUACAUUUGGAUUAAACAGAAAAUAUAAGUAAAAAUGCCAACUUUCUAAAAAAACUACAACUAUUUUUACAAAUUUCCAUUACCCAAUGCUGAAAAAUGAGAAUCACGAAGCAAUGAAGAACGGAACACGCGAGAACCAAAAAGUUAAAAACAACACGUAACCAUUUCAAAGACCCAAAAUCCUGCAAGGACAAAAAAAUCCCAUAAAAUCAGUACAUCAGCACUCCCUGCAAAACCCCAAAAUCAGAAAAUUAUAAAAAGAACCCAAAAUCAGUGGCAUGGUCCUCGUUUCUCCAUCAUUCAGUAGCUAAUGACCUAAUGGAAAAGAACCCAAAACAUACAGCUUAAAAUAUGGAAAGUGCUUAUAAAAGCUCAUGAAUAACGUUCAAAGCCUGCAUAGAAAUGGUAUAGCGCAGAUAACAACAAACAAUAAAACUAUGCACAGUAUAACCUAAAUCCGAUAUGUUGCAUUCCCCACACACAGAUUGUUCAAAAUUAAUUUCGUCUCCGUCUUUUUUCAAAUCUGAUAAAAUCCCCAAAACACAAAAAAUAGCAGCUAACUAUUUUUUGAACUCUGUAAACAACGAUAUGCAUCUUAACCCAUUUAACAUAUUCAUAAAAUAACAUCAAACACAUUUAUGCAUGAGAUAAUAUAGAAGUGAAGUCUCACAACUUUCAUAAAAAAUUAUUACUUUGUUAGAGAAAGGCUUGAAAAAAUAUGUAAAUUACUCACCUCUAUUACAAAAAUGUUACAACAGUAGACAAAAAAGGCCAAAAAUACCAAAAGCCGCACCUCCUGAAAUAAAAAACAUAACCAAACGACACAUUCUCAGUAUCUAAACGAUAUCCAGAAAAAAAGAAAUGAACAGACGAAACCCAUGUAAAUAUACAGAACAAACCAAAAAAAAAAAAAAGAACUGAAGCCAGUAAGAAGAUCACAAAUCUGAUAAAGCAAAAGGUAACAUAAUCUAUAUCGAUUUAAUUAUCCAUCCAAAAAGACAUUUGAAUGAAGAACAUUUUUAAGGAUCCAAACAACCAUUAAACUAAACAAUUAAAAGUAAAAACAGCAAAGCAUUCAUUGAAGAAAUAUAUAUAUAUAUAUAUAUUAUAACGUAUUUUGUUCUUUAUACCUAAAAGAAAAACAUUGGCUUUCUUGUAUGCACUGAAGUAUGCAUGUGUCGGAAAUUUACAAUCUAUAGAGACUCAAUCUCAGACUCAAAAAGACAUCUAAAGGAAAAGUAAUAAGAAAAAUAAGUAGUGGUUUUACCUAUACUCCAUGUGUGGACUCCAAUUUUCAAUCACAAUUCAAAAUUCAAGAGGCCUAUAAAUCAACCACAUAGGAAAUGAUCAGUGGAAGAAAAAGAAAAACAACUGAAGCCAAAAUAGCAUCUAACAAAUCAUUUAGAACCAUCACAGAAAACAAUUUUUGCAUAUAAGUAAUUUAAAGGAAUACCAUCAGGUCAUGCAUAUAUACAACGUACCCAAUUAGAUAAGUAGCACAUCAACAAUUGAUGAUCAAAAAGUUAGUCAGCCUCAAUUGCUUGAAUCUAAUUAACUCAAAGAUAAUAAACAGUCCAUUUAAUGCACGGGCUGACUAUCAAUUUUAUAAAGCUAUAAUUCUGUGCAGUUCAAAAACCAAGUGGAAGAAUAGGCAAAAACUAUCUCAUCGCCUGUAAAUGUAAUUAACUAAAUAUUAAACUUCACAGCCACAAAUAAACCUAAAUUCCUCCUAAAACUAUCUCAUUUAAGCUUGAUUUUACUAUAAUCUAUAAGUGUGGUAAAAAAUGGGAGGCCAAACGAUUUGUUAACAAAAAAGGUAGACAUAAAAGUAAAAGGAACAGGGCAGACAUUAGUUGAGGAGAAGCUAAUGUCACCUUGAAUUGACGACAAACAGUUCUUAUCUUCUCGAAUUAACGAAGAUAAGUACCAUUUUUCUUUAAUUCAAGGUAAUAUAAAAAGAAAUUAUACCUGUACAGUGUUCAGAUGUAGCAAUCCUAUGCAAUCGGCCAAAUGAUGUGUGUCCUCUCAAAGAUCUGUAUAUCCAUUACAGACUAAUCUUCAGUCUUGCAGAAAAUGAUAUGUUGACUACAAUUUCCCAUACUACUAAAAAACACAAAUAAUUCUAUCUACAAACCAAAUAAUAUGUGCAACUUUAUGCUACAAUGGUAGAAUAAGAUGGUUGUACAGGACGACACAAAGAUUGAGACUUUUUUUUACUUCUAAAAUUCUACACACUUUCGAGCCCUAAAUUUUCCCGGAAACAAAAAAAAGUGAAAGAAGUCGUACCUGGUUUGAGAGAGUGGGACACCAUCGGCGAGUUUGGUGUAGCAGUGAUGGCGGAGAUCUCUGGUGAGAAAGCUAAUAAGAUGGACAAAAUCAUUGAACAAAAAAAACCUCGCUUUUUAAAAUUAAAGUCAACAAAAAUUUGAACAAAGAAAAGAGAACUCAAACCCGAAACAAAUAAGUCGGAGAACUCGCCAGGAAACCCAAAGUUUCUGCAGGAUUGGCGAUUUCCUGAAAACCAAGCUUUUGUAGGUUUAAAAUUUCUUCCCUAAGGCAACAGAUCCAACAUUCCCAACUUUAGCUAUUUCAGCUACAUAAUAGAAAGAAAAAAAAAUUUAUAUAAUUAACUAAUCUGAUUUAAGAUUAAUCGAAAAGCUUGGAAAUUUCAGCUUUAAAAUUACAUGUCAGGCUGCAAAUCUAAUAAAAAGCGUAGAAUUUUAAAAAUGCUGACCUUAAAUACAGAGGCCUUCGCAGGCUGCAAAGAAGCGUUAGAAACCCGAAAAACCGGAUCUCCUGAAACCAAAAACAAAACCAAAUUAACCAUCAUCACCCAUAAUUCGAAGCCACAAACAUAAUCCCCAAAAUUACAACCCAAAAAUUUAAACAAAAAAACCCAUUUAUAAAUCCAAAUUUACACUCCCAAGUGCAAGACUCUAAGCUCCAACUGUUCUUUCUCAACUUUAGCUAUUUCAGCAACAUAACAUAAAUAAAAAGGUCGUACCCAGUGCACAAGGCUCCCGCUUUACGCAGGGUCUGGGAGAGGUGAAUGUCGGCUAGCCUUACCCCCAUUUUAUGGAGAGGCUGCUCCCAAGUCUCGAACCCGAGACCUACCGCUCAUGGGCGAAGACACUUGCCAUCGCACCAAGUGCGACCUCUAGCAACAUAACAUAAAUAAAAAGAUCGUACCCAGUGCACAAGGCUCCCGCUUUACGCAGGGUCUGGGAGAGGUGAACGUCGGCUAGCCUUACCCCCAUUUUAUGAAGAGGCUGGAACAUAACAUAAAUAAAUAAACAAAAUUAAUUUAACUAUAAUUAACUAAUAUGAUUUAAGAUUAAUCAAAAAACUUGGAAAUCUGCUUGAAUCCAAUCUCAAAAUUGAAAACGAACACUUCACUUUUACAAAAGUUGUACAAAGCAAAAAAAAAAAAACAGACAAAUCAAAGUCUCACAAAGGGCCACAACGACAGCAAAAUUGCAACAGAAAGAGGAAAAAUGUUCAAUCAAACCAUUGGAUAACUCUUCUAAGGCAGCCAAAAAAAAACCCACAAAUUCAAAACCACAAAAAUCCAAUCUAAAACAUCGAUUCACAGACUGAGAUGCACAAAAUGAUAUAUUAACAAAUCCAAAACGAAAUACAAAAAUUAAGAACCAACAAGCAAAAAAAUACUGAUUAUCCCCUGCAUACGUGAGCACACGUUCAAAAAGCCUCUCAAAGGCUGAGAUUCAACUUUCAAACAUAAAGACUUUAAGCCACAAUUGUUCUUUCUUAACUUUAGCUACUUCAGUUACAUAAUCGGAAAAAAAAAAUUAUUUAAUUAUAGUUAACUAAUCUGGGUUAAGAUUAAUAAAAAAGCUUGGAAAUUUCAGAUCUAAAAUCACACCUCAGGCUGCAAGUAGAAUCAAAACCAUGGAAUUUCAAAAUCACUGACCUUAAACACACAGGUCUUCGCAGGCUUCAAAGAAAAGUCACAAACUCGAAAAACCCAAUCUCCUGAAAUCGAAAACAAAACCAAAUUAACCAUCAUCACCUAGAAUCCGAAGCUACAAAACAAAAUUCCCAAAAUCAAAACCAAAAAAUUUGAACAAAAAACUCAUUUAAUAUCCAAAUUUACACUCCCAAGCACAUAACAUUCAAAGCAGACAAUUACCCAAAUCAAAUCGACAGCAGGAGAUGCAAUCUUUUAUGGGCUUCAAAUUUUCUUCAAACCGAGACCAAAUUCGCUAGUUUUCAGCAAGAGAGCGUUGCCGUUUGUAACCCCCGAUGAAAAGAUCCAAACAAAUUUGACUAACAGUAGACAGAGAGAGAGAGAGAUAGAGAGAGAGAGGUGAAAAUUACUCGCUGGUGACGAAGCUAAUGAAUUCGGAGACGCAUUCCUGGACGGUGUUCGACUGAUCGGCACGAGUAGAGACACCAGAUCAGAAAGACAGAAAAAUUAGGGUUUGGGAGAUAAAGAAACUGGGGCAGAGAGAGAGGGAAAGAGAAGCAGAAAAGAGGAUAAUUUUAUGCAUUUUUUUUAGCCGCUUUGAAUUUUUUUUGGCCGACAGGCAUUUGCGUCCGAUUAUUUUUGUCGAAGCCGGUGACACCAAAACCGGCCUCCGGCUUUCGGACCAGGAUUGUCUGCCCCUUCAUUUUCCCUGCCAUGU